rnacentral:rRNA from 1 species
GAUGAACGCUGGCGGCGUGCCUAAUACAUGCAAGUCGAGCGAAGCGGGGAGGGGGGAGUAACACGUGGAUAACCUCCUAUAAGACUGGGAUAACUUCGUGAAACCGGAGCUAAACCGGAAACUUAUAGAAGGAUCCGAGAUGCAUUAGCUAGUUGGUAAGGUAACGGCUUACCAAGGCAACGAUGCAUAGCCGGCCUGAGCGGAUGAUCGGCCACACUGGAACUGAGACACGGUCCAGACUCCUACGGGAGGCAGCAGUAGGGAAUCUUCCGCAAUGGGCGAAAGCCUGACGAAGCAACGCCGCGUGAGUGAUGAAGGUCUUCGGAUCGUAAAACUCUGUUAUUAGGGAAGCGGUACCUAAUCAGAAAGCCACGGCUAACUACGUGCCAGCAGCCGCGGUAAUUC